rnacentral:rRNA from 1 species
ACCCUCGAGUGGGGAAUAACCGAAGGAAACUUCGGCUAAUACCGCAUAACACUUACGAGUCAAAGCAGCAAUGCGCUUGGGGAGGAGUUCGCGGCAGAUUAGUUAGUUGGCGGGGUAAUGGCCCACCAAGACGAUGAUCUGUAUCCGGCCUGAGAGGGCGCACGGACACACUGGAACUGAAACACGGUCCAGACUCCUACGGGAGGCAGCAGUGGGGAAUUUUGCGCAAUGGGGGAAACCCUGACGCAGCAGCGCCGCGUGGAGGAUGAAGUAUCUUGGUACGUAAACUCCUUUCGAUGGGGAAGAUAAUGACGGUACCCAUAGAAGAAGCCCCGGCUAACUUCGUGCCAGCAGCCGCGGUAAUACGAGGGGGGCAAGCGUUGUUCGGAUUUAUUGGGCGUAAAGGGUGCGUAGGCGG